GAAUCUUUGGAGAAGCUCACCGACAGCCGGUCGGAGUGAGUGCCGAAGGGGCAAGCGGCGUCCGCCGCCAAUCUCUCAGGCAAAAGGACAAAGA
rnacentral:ncRNA from 1 species